rnacentral:sRNA from 1 species
AGGUGCGUGCGCGCCGCGGGAGGCGGGCCGGCAGCUGGAGCCCAGCCGGAGCGGCGGCCCCUCCGCGGAGCCCGGUCACAGUCACCGCAGCAGACAUCAUGGCCGUGGAUGUGGCAGAAUACCAUCUGAGCGAGAGUGCCUGCGUGGAAUACCCAGCGGGCCAGCACGCGGGGACCACCCAGCCGCAAAGGCAGUCUCAGCAUUGAGGACACCUUUGAGAGCAUCAGUGAACUGGGGCCUCUGGAGCUGAUGGGCCGGGAGUUGGACCUGGCCCCCUAUGGGACCCUCCGGAAGUCCCAGUCGGCCGACUCCCUGAACUCCAUCUCCUCCGUGAGCAACACCUUUGGGCAGGACUUCACACUGGGCCAGGUGGAGGUGAGCAUGGAGUACGACACUGCCUCCCACACGCUGCACGUGGCGCUGAUGCAGGGCAAGGACCUCCUGGAGCGGGAGGAGGCCAGCUUCGAGUCCUGCUUCAUGCGCGUCAGCCUGCUGCCCGACGAGCAGAUCGUGGGCAUUUCUCGGGU